GGCUUGUCCAAUAGUAGUGGGUUAUCAGAACUUGUUAACAUUAGCGUCACUAAGUUGAUAUACAACCCCCAACUGCUAAGUUUGACAGGCUUAAA
ensembl:misc_RNA Y_RNA Y RNA